CCCUGCCUUAACCACUUGUUGACAUUCCU
rnacentral:piRNA from 1 species